AAUAAUGUGAUUAUAUCUGACGACCCACUGCAGGUUGUUAAUGAACAGAUAUCUACGGAGGCAGAUUAGUGCCAAUAAUGCAGGUUGUUAAUGAACAGAUAUCUACGGAGGCAGAUUAGUGCCAAUAAUGCAGGUUGUUAAUGAACAGAUAUCUACGGAGGCAGAUUAGUGCCAAUAAUGCAGGUUGUUAAUGAACAGAUAUCUACGGAGGCAGAUUAGUGCCAAUAAUGCAGAUUGUUAAUGAACAGAUAAUCUACGGAGGCAGAUUAGUGCCAAUAAUGCAGGUUGUUAAUGAACAGAUAAUCUACGGAGGCAGAUUAGUGCCAAUAAUGCAGGUUGUUAAUGAACAGAUAUCUACGGAGGCAGAUUAGUGCCAAUAAUGCAGGUUGUUAAUGAACAGAUAAUCUACGGAGGCAGAUUAGUGCCAAUAAUGCAGGUUGUUAAUGAACAGAUAAUCUACGGAGGCAGAUUAGUGCCAAUAAUGCAGAUUGUUAAUGAACAGAUAUCUACGGAGGCAGAUUAGUGCCAAUAAUGCAGGUUGUUAAUGAACAGAUAAACUACGGAGGCAGAUUAGUGCCAAUAAUGCAGGUUGUUAAUGAACAGAUAAACUACGGAGGCAGAUUAGUGCCAAUAAUGCAGGUUGUUAAUGAACAGAUAAUCUACGGAGGCAGAUUAGUGCCAAUAAUGCAGGUUGUUAAUGAACAGAUAAACUACAGAGGCAGAUUAGUGCCAAUAAUGCAGGUUGUUAAUGAACAGAUAAACUACGGAGGCAGAUUAGUGCCAAUAAUGCAGGUUGUUAAUGAACAGAUAAACUACGGAGGCAGAUUAGUGCCAAUAAUGCAGGUUGUUAAUGAACAGAUAAAACG